CAACCUCAACUCAUACGGGACUACCCCCUGAAUUUAAGCAUAUUAAUUAGGGGAGGAAAAGAAACUAACAAGGAUUUUCUUAGUAGCGGCGAGCGAAAAGAAAUCAGUUCAGCACUAAGUCACUUUGUCUAUAUGGCAAAUGUGAGAUGCAGUGUACGGAACAUCAACAUUCUAGUAUGAGAAGUUAACGAUUUAAGUCCUUCUUAAAUGAGGCCAUUUACCCAUAGAGGGUGCCAGGCCCGUAUAACGUUAAUGAUUACUAGAUGGUGUUUCCAAAGAGUCGUGUUGCUUGAUAGUGCAGCACUAAGUGGGUGGUAAACUCCAUCUAAAACUAAAUAUAACCAUGAGACCGAUAGUAAACAAGUACCGUGAGGGAAAGUUGAAAAGAACUCUGAAUAGAGAGUUAAAUAGUACGUGAAACUGCUUAGAGGUUAAGCCCGAUGAACCUGAAUAUCCGUUAUGGAAAAUUCAUCAUUAGAAUUGUAAUAUUUUAAACAAUAUUAUAAUAAUAGUGUGCAUUUUUUCCAUAUAAGGACAUUGUAAUCUAUUAGCAUAAAUAUUUAUCAUAAAAUUAUGUCUGAUUGCUUAUUUGAAUUAUAUGCUUGGCAUUUUAACAUAAAAUAAAAGAUAUAAAUUUGAUAAAGUGCUGAUAGAUUUAUAUGAUUACAGUGCGUUAAUUUUUCGGAAUUAUAUAAUGGCAUAAUUAUCAUUGAUAUUUGUGUUUAUUAUAUGCAUUUGUAUGAUUAACAAUGCGAAAGAUUCAGGAUACCUUCGGGACCCGUCUUGAAACAC
rnacentral:ncRNA from 1 species